rnacentral:lncRNA from 1 species
GAGAGAGAGAGAGAGAGAGAGAGAGAGAGAGGGAGGAGAGAGAGGCAGAGAGGGAGAGUUCCACUCAAGGCUGUGUUUCUAGUAAACUCAGUAGAAGCCUCAUGGACAGAUAUGUUCUAAGGUGACUGAUAGGCACCGGUCACCUUGAUAAUGGCCUAAAACCACACCAGCAGCAUCCUGAUCGAGUUUUGAGGACAACUGCCACCUUGAAUCAGAGGAGAAGCUUUCGGCAUUUGCAGCUGGCCUGGCAUCUGAGAAUCUGCAGGUUACUCUUACCAUGUACUGGGGCAUGAGAAGAAGAAACAGUAAAUUUGAAUGGUAUGCAAACACCUUUAAAAUAAAAACAAAAGAAAAAGAGAAAAAUAUCUGUGAGAAACAAAUGAUCGAGCUGUACUCAGAAGCCUUCAAAAAACCAAGUGCUAGGUAAUCCAAACCUUGCCUUAUGCAUGCUGGGCAAGUGCAUUAACACUGUGCUACACCCCCAACCCUGCUACGAAUUCUUUAGACUUCACUCUCCUACUGAAGUGGGUUCAAAGCCAUGGCUGCUGCCUGGGGAAGACCUGACUCUGGGAACUUUUGUCUCGGUGGCUGGCAGCCACAGUUCACGAGCCAAGUCUGGAAUGGUUGCUUGAGUUCAUACUGCUACAGGGCCAAGGACGGUUGUUGCAUUUUGAAAAGAGCGAAAACACCAAGCCAACACUUCUCCACAAGGAGAAUGAAAUCGAGGGUCCGUGUCGGGGAGCUGGAAGGCAGCCGUAGCGCAGGUCACUGUCCAGUUGCACACAGCUGCUGCCCACUGCAGCAGCAGAGUGGAGCAGGUGUGGGACCUUGUGUCUCAGCAGUGAGAACGGUGACUAAGACAGUCCUCACCCAGUGACCAUGCCCUUGCCCAGGCCGUUCCCCAUUCUACAUCUCCAUCUGUCAGGCUCUUCACAUGUCUGGUGCUACAGUGGAAUACCACCUUUCGGAGAGCAAAGACCAUGCCUCUGACAUCGCACCUGCCCUACAGUGCUUAACCUAGGAGCUGUGCCCAGUGAGUGUGCAGAUCUGGGUGAUGUAUUCAGGUGCAGCUGUGUUCCCUCUCCUAUAACCACAGACCUGCUCUCACUGGGUUCUUGGACACUGCAGAAAGGUAGAGCACCCCAGGGAAAGAAAGAAGCCCUAAGUGCCUUCAUUCCUUAGGUGGAUUCAUUCAUCCAGCGCAUAUUAAACUUCUGCAGUGUUCCAGGUACUAUAUCAGGG